CCGUGACCUGAAGUGCGACCUGAGGUCAGAUAUUAUCGAUAGGUCACCGGGCGCCAGCCCCAGCGGCGGCCUCCGCCAUGGAUUAUGAGAAAGAUGACCAGGAACAACUGGUCGAAGACAAUCGCCCAAUUACGUGGAAAGAUGGGGUGUCGGACGCGCUGACAAGCCGGCCGGCUCUCUUCACCUACCUGACCGUGACGUGCGUCACCAUCGGCCUUCUGAUCCCGAUGUGGUUCCUGAUAUACUACCCGCUGGACCUGGAGAUGGCCAUCUACACCCGAGGCAGCUGCAUGAUAGCCACCAAGUACAGGUUCCCGUGCCUGGUAGGUGAAGAGAACACCACAGACCUGACCUGCGCGCUGGCUGGCUGCUGCUGGUACGACGAAGAAGGCAGCGCAGACCAGGGCCCAGCCAAAUGUUUCCACUCCAUGCCGGCCUCCUAUACGUACAAAAUGCACAACUCAACCGUGGGCCCCAACUCCAUCUCCGCCGACCUGACGGCCUACUCGUUCGCGGACGCGGAGGCCCGACGCGCGGUGCGCACCCCAUACAACAACAGCGCCCUGCCGCACGUCACCGCCUCGGUCACCAUCGCGGAGCCGGAGCGGGUGCUGCUCGAGGUGGGCCCGCCGCCGGCGGUGGCGCUCACCGCCAACUCCGACUCCCACCCUGUGUCGGUGAACGGCUCCGUCCUCACCAUCGCCUCCAACACCGGCCCAGAGUGGGACUUUUUCGCCGUGGUGUCGCGCACAUCCACGGGCCAGGCGCUGGUCGACACCCGACUCGGCGCCACCAUCGUCAGCGACCAGUACACCGAGUUCACUGUCGUGCCGGCCUCAACGGCCGUCUACGGCCUCGGCCAGGCCUUCCACUCGACGCUGAGGCGGACGUUCGACUGGCCGCCGCGCACGGCCAUGUUCGGCAGGUCGCGGCUCUUCUCCGAGGGCAGCCACCCGUUCUACAUGUGCAUCGAGCCGAGCGGCGACGUGCACGGUGUCUACCUGGAGACGUCUGCGCCCGUAGAGGUGCAGCUGAUGCCGGGCCCGAGCAUCACGUUCCGGGUGCUGGACAGCCGGGUGAAGCUGCACGUGCUGGCCGGUCCGACGCCGGCCGAUGUCACCGACCAGUACACCCAGCUGGUGGGCCGGCCGCGCCUGCCGCCGCUCUGGGCACUGGGAUUCCACCUCUGUCGCGAAGGAGACGUCGGCAGCUUUGACACGGUGAUGGAACAGAUGGUGGCCAGCAGGAUUCCGUUCGAGUCUGACUGUGUGGACGCCACAGCGCUGCUGCCGCUCGGGUUUGAGGCCUCCGAGGAGUUCCUCAACGGCUCGCAGAAACUGCACGCGAUGAACCGGCACGUGAUGGCCGCGGUGGCGCCGCACCUUCCUCUGUACCGCGACCCCGUGGGUGAGGAGAACACUGCGUACCCGCCAUACGAGGAUGCCGACGUGCAGGGUCUCCUCCUGCGGAACGACAACAACACGGACAACGUGUACGGAGAGCUGUACGACCUGAGCAGGAACCGCACCUGGAAUGUCUCCUACGUCGACUACUCAAACCCAGCCACCGUGGGCUGGGCGAAGCCGCUCUAUCAGGGGCUGAUCACCAAUAACAGCAUCGACGGCUUCUUCCUGAUGCGUAACACUCCGACCAACGAUGGCGAAGACAUGUGCAACGACUCUCUGCCGUUUGUCCCGAACUUGGGCGACUCGAAGACGCUUUCCAACGGCACCGUGUGCAUGCUGUCCAAACAGGCGUCCGGUGAUCACCUCACCAGUCACAACCGUUAUGGCCAGGAGCAGACUCGUACUGUGCGCGAGGCGACAAAUGACACCUUCCCAAGUCUGAUGCUGACCAGCACCUCAACCUCGCCUGGAAGCGGAUUGCAAGGCGGUCAUUUUGCCACGGGUAUGACGGCGGACUGGACAAGCCUGUCGCUCGCACUGGUGGAAACGUUGGAGCUGGGUCUGUACGGAAUCCCUCAGAGCGGUUACCCCAUCUGUGGCUCCCGAAACUCCACCAGCAUCCCGACGGACGACACGGAGCGGCUGGAGACGCUGUGUCUGCUCUGGUACCAGCUGCUGCCGUACCUGCCGCUGGCCGUCAGCCACUACGAGGCCGGCCACCUGCCGCGCAACCCCACGCAGAUGAGCUCGUCGUUCAAGCUGAGUGUGCUGGCCCAGGUCAGCCAGCGGUACGUGUUUAUUCCCUACCACUACACCCUGCUGGUGGAGGCCAGUCAGACGGGCGUGCCGCCGCUGCGGCCGCUCUGGUACGAGUUCGCGCAGGACAACGCCACCUGGGACAUUGACCAGCAGCUGCUGCUGGGACCGGCGCUGAUGAUCGCGCCGGCGCUCACCGAGGGCCAGCAGAUCGUCGAGCUCUACCUGCCCGGCUCCUGCUGGUACGAGUACUUCCAGGGCUUCCGACCGAAGGAUGACAUCGGCCCCGGCUGGGUGAAGCUGCCGGUACCCGCUCAGCAGACCCUCAUCUACCAGAGGGCCGGCAGCGUCAUUUUCAAUCAGCAAGCGUCCGAGACGCUAUCUCAGCAGCGAGUGGACGGCACGUACUCGGCCACGGUGGCGCUGACCUGCGAGGAGGGCUACCAGGCGUCGGGCACCCUCUACCUGCCGGGCGACGACGCGGCGAUCGGACCGGGCAGCGUUACCGUCACGGUGCGCGACAACUCCACCGUGGAGAUCGUCAGCGGCCUCAGCCGACCGUUCUGCGACUUCUACUACAACAACAACUACACCUCGGUGCUGAAGCAGGUCCAGAUGUUCGGCAUCACGGAGAGUGUGACGAACGUGACGCUGGCGCUGACGCCGGCCGGCGGCGCGCCGCUGCCGCCCACUGUACUGGCGCCGAAACACCAGACGCUGGAGCCGCCGGCGCUGAUCGUGCAGGAUGUCAACCUGGACUGGUGCCUGUUCGAGAGGGCCGAGAUCACCUGGACCGUCGCCGAGCUGGUCUGAAGUCGGUGCAGAGGAUAAGAACGAGGAGGGCAUUCUGAAGGUGUAUUGACGAGAAUGCAUGAAUAGUCAUUGAUGGUGCUAGAGCUGUAAUGCUAUGAAAGCGAUGGGAGCUCGGUUUUGCUGCAUUGAGUCAUGUUGGUGUUGAAUUCGGGAUGUGUCUUCUUUCUUUGAACAUACAAAGAAAAACCGUUUGUACCCAAACAGCAAUGGUAAACGGUAUUUGAGGCGUGGUUGGCUGUUCACGUAUUUUGUUCCCUCUUAAGCCUAUAACUUACCUAAUGGAUUUAAUUAACUUGGUAAUUGGUAUAUUGAUGCCGUCACUAUCCAAGAGGAAUACUCCCAAAUUAUUUGUGACCAAUCAUGGUACCUAUGCAGACACUGUCAACCACCUAACCUAUACUGCAUGAGAGGCCGAACAAAUGUGAGGCUUUAUGAAUGGCUUUAUAUAAAUGAUAUGUAUGCCAAUGCACUAUAGGUAUCUAAUAAACAUGAUAACACCUACACAUGUAACAACAUACUCGUACGUAUUGUUACAUUACACUUCUUGAUGUGCAGCCUCGCUUUUAGUUCAUGCCGAGAUGAGCGUGACUCUUCUUUCGAAACACGUUACAGUUUAACACGUUAACCCGUCAAUCGUUAACGUAAAAAAAGAAAACACGUUAAACACUUACCUUCGAGUGCAAGAGUGAUGUGUGAGUUGUGACUAGUAUGAAGUGCAAACGUUGGCGCUCCCCUUAGCCCGACGUCAUUUCACGCAACAUGGUCUAACACGACGACG
rnacentral:misc_RNA from 1 species